GCGGACGAAAGACGAAUGAAACCACCUUUAGUAGCAGAGGAGCUGACCAUAGGCAAUUACUAUUGUGACCAAAGGAUAAGACUCUUUUUCUAUUCUAAAUGAAAGUAAAUCAAGUCAAUCAAAUCCACUUUUUGAAGUUCUUCGGUUAAGUCAGUCAUUGAAGAUAACUCGUACAAGCCAUUGUCAUAGGAACUCUCAAUCCCUAAGCCAUCCAUCUACCGGCACAACAGGAAAGGUAGGAUACUUUCACCGUAACCCGCGAACGGCCAAAGCCCCAAGGAACCAUAGCUUCACAAAGCUGAUGUUAGCGCUCAAACCAACCUUAUGCCAUUAAUUAAAGACAGCCCUUGCGCUUCAGAUUAAGAUAGAAAGGGAAGUUUCGUCAGCCAAACGCAGGAUAAUCUUAUGAAUAAACUCCAAUCUAGGCGGAUUACUCCACUCCACACUCUUAUCCCCAAGCUCCUAGCUAAGCUGAUGUAUUUGUUUAGUUUACGGAUCGCUUUCCUUUCCAGAAAUGUAUGUUAGCAGGUCGUUCGCCCGAGUUUUAUUUAGUUUUUUUUUAUUACCCUUCCAGAUUGUUCGUCACGGGAAAGAUCCCCGGAGUUAGAGUGAGAGGAGCAUCAUUUCAUUGAUAAUGCUGCAGAGGACAAAAGGAAUUCAAUAAAAGUUUCCAUCUUCCUAGGAUACAGACAAGGAUGCUAAAGAAGGUUUUCUGCCAGCGACUACGGCAUCUCCCGCUAUUACUUUAAAUGAUUCCGUGGGGCCGGCUUGAAAGCAGAGAAUCGAAGACUGAUUUUUGACCCAAUUCCCGACUUGAUGUUUUGGACCUUUUUGCCUUUCAUCUUUUAGAUGCUAUCUCUAUCUCUUCUUACCAUAAAGAAGGGCUGGCUAACUGAACUCACUUGAAAGAGUUAAUCAUCUUACUAAAGCAUGGUAUCAAAGAGGGAUAGAAUCCAUCUAUUCGGCAAAGAACCAUCCUUUCCCUAAGGCAGGAAAGCAAGUAAGCAAAGGCAACAUAAAGUCUUCUCUUGUUAGGAAGAGGUGUAGGAGCUUCGGCUAUGCAAGACCUUGCUUUUUACCUCUCGUACUCUUCUCUUAAUGGGAGGACUAGGAAGAAGAGUAGGAGUUGAACGGUUAGCUCUGCGAGCCUGGCUUUGUCAUUAUACGAGGAUGAACUGGCACAUAAGGUGCGUAGCGCGGCUCUCUGGUCCACUAGUAGUAGGGACUUGAAGACCGGUACAAGAGGAAAGAGGUUACCAAUCUUCUCUGCUUAAUCAGUCUCUUCUGGUCUCUUCGCUCGAAAGCUAUGACCUGCCCCCCGGAAUGAAAGGAAUAAGAGAUUAAGGACACUUUUAGUUUUAGUGAGGGAGGUACUGGCCGUAGCGCCCGAACGGUCAGGAAAGAGCUAGUUUCAAGUCAGGAAAGAGAAGAUUUUUAUCCCCAAGAGCUGAUUCGAUAACAGUAACACCAGUUACGCUCACAGCAGGUAGGCAAAAGCAAACAACAGAUAUGGCUAAAGCACCGGUAAGACCAAGAACAGAAAUGACUUCUAUUCUAUUAGAUAGAAUUAAGAAUUUCUUGCUUUCGCAUAUCCGCUGCUCAGGCCGUGAAAGGACUACAACGGGGCCACUUUCCUUUCCUAGUUGGCUAUGAGUCAGAUUAAAAGAUUCCCCGCAUCCGAGAAUAGUCCUUACUUUCCUGAUGUCUCAGCUUCUGUCGUGCAAAGAAUAAAAGGAUUUCUCGGCCUAUUCUAGAUUAGUUUCAAUAUCUCCUUUGUCGAGUCGACUGUUCGUGGCAUGGUUGGAUCGCUUUCCCUUUGCUUCGGUUGACCUAUGUUCUUUCUUUCCUCUUGAUGCGUGGAUGCUGCAUUGCCGGUCUUACUUACCCUCCUUACCUGAUUCCUAUCACUUUCCUUGUGAUGUCUUAUCGCCUUAUCCGCAGUUGGUGCUUUAGUUAUUUUGAUUUUAGUAAGGGCUAAAAGGCGUAAGCGGUCUUAGCAAGUCCAUUCCUUUCCCGCUUAGCUCUGAAGCAGGCAAUCUCACAUCAGGAAGAGCCUCUCUCUACGGUACCCUUCUGCGAUCACUAAACGACUUUCUGGGUUCUGGAUCAAAAGUGAUAGCUGCUAUUGAAUGAGUUCUUAGAGAAGCUGCUCUUAGCGCCCGCUGCUCGUCAGGCAGCUCGAGACCUUACCUUAUUACUUUCCCGGCUUUCUGUCUGUCUCUACUCUCUUCCUUCCUGCUGUCUUGGUGAAGACUGUAGUAGUGGUAUCGGUUGAUUGAAUAUAUAUAUAUCUUUCCAUUCCACUUGAGUAGACAGAAGAGAUAGGAGUGCGAUUGAGAACAGUCGUUUUUCUUUUCACGUAAAUAAACAGAAAGAAAGAGUAAACUCCAAAAAUGGCAGAAUGGAAGCGAGAUUGGAUUCACGUAUAUAAACUACAAUUACAGUUUCUUCCCUUUCUCUUAGGGAAUCUCGACUUUCCUUUCUUGCCUGGCAACUUCCUGGUAUGACUAGACAGUCUUGUCUGCUUGUUUGCAGUGGAGUGUCCUCCGGUUUAGAGAAUUCAGGGCGAACUCUUGUCAUGCGGAUCGGAUAUCCAAUCCAGAUAAAGAAAGAUAGCAGGUUAGAAAAAGCAGUUUGAGAAUGUCUUGUUUGAAGAGGGCAAGUGAUUGAGUUAUUUAGCAAGGGAGAACCACCAGGCAAUUGAGAGAUUGUCUCGAUUCUCCAAUCGUUUCGGAAUGCAUGUAAAAGUGAAACAGAGAUCUUCGGAGAUAUGAUAGUUUCUGUCGAACUCGGUCACUUUCCCAAGUAGACAGGGAAGCGAUUCCAGCCAUCAUGGAGUUGGAUUCCGUGUAUGAAAGAAAGCCUUUCAAAAAGUAAGAUGAGGAAUCAAAGCUUCUGAAAGAAGAGAUAAGAGCAGUUACGCUUUUUUCAAAUCCCGGAAAAGCAGCUAAGAGCCUUUUAAUAGCGCAGCGGAUCUUGCUAACAUUAGAGACUCUACUUAGUGAGUUGCCUACCCUCGCUGGUGGACUAGUUUAGUUAGAGGAUGGGACGAUAGAGCUCAAAUCAAUCGAAUACCGUUCGUGACCUGACCCAGAGCCACUAGGAUCAGUCGGUAAGUCUCAUCCCGUGCUUGGACUUGGGCACGAAAGGAUAGCUAUUCCUUGCAUCGUUAAGAGUUAUGGCUUACUUCUAGGCUUUCGGGGAAGGGAAUGUCAUUGUUCUUUAUUCUAUACUUGAGCUAUUCUCGUUCUAACGACAGAAGCUGAUUCAAGCAUUCGUUCCGAGUCGCCAAGAGACAGAAGAGCUUAUUUCAAGCAUUCCCCUUGAGGCGGGAAAACUCCUUAAUCAUUUAACUGGGUAUGAGAACUCCUCCCUUAUAGUUAUAGUAGAAAUUCUUCCAAGAACGGAUUCUUCUUAAUGUUGUUGAUUUGAUAACAUCUGCUGCUGAUUUCAAUAGCCAAGUCAAGCUUUCCAGCAGGCGAGACAGAUGCCGAUUCUACCUCUGCCAACUCCCUCUUUAUAGCAGGAUUUUAUCCAUCAAUGGCAGCUCGAUUGCCACGUGAAAGCUCUAAGUCAAGAAGUCAAGCCAGCAAGAAAGUCCGAAAGUAAGAAGGUACGGUUUCAUCAUCCUAAGCUACCUCACCGCACUCAGUCCAGUCUAUGGGCCCUUAGCCCAAGGAUAGAGACAGGGCUAAUGCUUCGAUCAUACUAGAUUAUGACCCGAGGCUUACCGAACUACCUUUGCCCUAACUCAGAGAGAGAAGGCCGCUCAAGCAGAAUCAGAAUACGACUUUCGCUAAACAAGAGCUCUUUACUGCUAAGCUGAUCACAACUUCACAUUCAACAACAGCAAGAAGACGACUCUAGCCCGCUGAAAGCUUUGAACAUUCGCUUUUCUCGGGUUCCUAGCCCAAAGGUUCUAGGGUUCGAGAGAGAAUUCCUACUAGUUGGAAGGGAAGAAGGUAAUCAAAUCAGUAGAAUGCUGCUUUCCGUACUAUCGGUUGUUCACAUUCAAGCAUGAGUUAGUUCAGAGGCGGCAAGGGGAAUCAGAGAAAGGGCAGUUUAGUCAACAAUCAUGACCAUGGGAACAUUUGUUCGCUUUCUAGGUACCCCCGGAUCUACUAGUCAUCGCCUUUGAGCUGGGAAAAGCAUUUAUCUGGAGUUGGCUAUUCCUGAUUCAGCAAAGGAAAGAAGCCUUGAUCCCAAGACUAGCUGCGGAUUGGAUUCUUCCUUUUAUCCGGACUGACUCUAAUCGUGAUUUUUACUAUAUUAUGCUCCCUCUGUCGCAAUAGAAAUCGAGAAUGGAGGUGACUUCGCUACCUUUCUUGGUGAAGAAUAUUAAUUUCUUUCCAGCUUUGGUCACAUAGGCUUGAAUCACUCCGGGGAAAGAUACUUGGAUAUUCUACGAUCGGACUUUGCCGGGCAUGAGCUACUCUCUUCUAGCCUUCCUCUAACAGAUUCAAUGGCAUCGCUUAUUCUUUUUGUUUCAAGCAUGAGUGACCAGUCGAUUCUCUAAUGUUGAUAUAGCAGUCAACCAUCAAGAAAUCAUCAACUAUUUAACCGGGGAUGAGCUCUAUGGCUAAUUCGUUCGGCUAUUCUAUUAAGUAAGGAUCGACUUAAGCUUAAGCUAGAGCAGCUCCUUCUAUCACAUCGGAUUCUAGUAAAGAGAUGGGCCUUCUCGUCUGAUCUCUGCAUCAACAGGAAUGCGGGAAAAGCUUCUUCUCAAGCAUCAACAUCAAAGAGCUUAUUCGAUGCCAUCUUCAUUCCUUCCCUAAGACAGGGGUUAUUCCCGUUCAGUCUAAUCCUCUUCUCAUGUGCAAAGGCUUAUCGAUCCUUUUUGAGUCAGAUGUGGCAUUGCUGAUUCGAGAGCAGUUGUCCUUUCUACUACAAUUAUCCCUGCUCUUCGCCCCCCGCCCCGAAACUGACGCACGCUUAACGGAAGACGUGAGGAGUUAUUCUGAAAUGGGACUUUUCAUUAGACGAUUCUUCUCCUGCUACAUUAGACUCCGAUGAAAGGGCGAGACGAAGAUGUAAUUUGAGUGAGUUUUUGUUUAUCAAAAGUCUCAAUUCCGGAUUUCUAUAUGUAUGAGAUCAACUCGACUUUCGCACUUCCGAUCAACUGAAGCGGGCCACGCUAUAGUGUCAGGUGUCUUUCCCACAGCAAGAGCAAUACCCUCAUGCAGCUUCCCUUUCUUUCCCUAGCUAUCCGAGCAAGUCAAACCAGAUAUUCCCCACUCCUUUCUAAGCAUAGGUGCGAAGCGAAAAAGAACCGAUCAACACCAACAGUAUCAACCAAUCGGCGCCUGCCGCCGCCCAGUAAAAAGAACUCAAGAAGAAGCAAAACAGAGGGGUCCCUCCAAAGUACGCCCUCUAACCGACAAGUGACAAGUGAUUCAAUUCCUCCAACCGAAAUGUUUCCAACCGAUCGAUAUGUUGUUCCC
rnacentral:lncRNA from 1 species